rnacentral:lncRNA from 1 species
GAUCAAGAAGCUGUCCGGGCCUCUGAUCUCCGGUGAGCCCCGCACGGCCCCGCCCCGGCCCGGCCCGGCCCCGCUUUGUCCGGCCGGCCGGUCCCCCCAGCCCUCGGGGGCCUCGCUGGGUUCCCGCCUCCUCCCGUGGCAUUAAAGGGCCCGCAGCGCUCAGGGCGCGGCUGCGCCCUUACCCCCCUCCCCGCCCCGUUGUUGUGCCCUCCAGCGGCUUCGCGCGGGCGGGGUGGGAGGCUGAAUCCCGGCCGCGACCCCCCGGGAGCGCAGUUUUCGCCCCCGGCCGCGGGAGCCCCUCCCCGGGCGCGGCCGGGCGCCGUGAGCACGGCGUGGAGGGGGUUAAGCGCGGCGGCGGCCCCGGGGGGCUUGGCCGCGGGACAAGGGGAAAUGCUUACACAGCACAUUGCGCGGCGACGUAAACAAAGCUGACCCGCCGCGGACCUCGGCGCGGGCGGGGACGGCGCCCCCACCCCGGCCGGCCCGCGCCCCGCGCCCUCUCCCGGCCCCCUCUCGGGUCUCCGGGCCGGCCCCGCCCUGACCGGCCGCGCGCGCUGUCGCCCGCAGAUUUCUUCGCCAAGCGCAAGAGAUCAGCGCCUGAGAAGUCGUCGGGCGAUGUCCCCGCGCCGUGUCCCUCUCCAAGCGCCGCCCCUGGCGUGGGCUCGGUGGAGCAGACCCCGCGCAAGAGGCUGCGGUGAGCCAAUUUAGAGCCCAAAGAGCCCCGAGGGAACCUGCCGGGGCAGCGGACGUUGGAAGGGCGCUGGGCCUCGGCUGGGACCGUUCAUGUAGCAGCAACCGGCGGCGGCUGCCGCAGAGCAGCGUUCGGUUUUGUUUUUAAAUUUUGAAAACUGUGCAAUGUAUUAAUAACGUCUUUUUAUAUCUAAAUGUAUUCUGCACGAGAAGGUACACUGGUCCCAAGGUGUAAAGCUUUAAGAGUCAUUUAU